CAGCCGCCGCGGUAAUACAGAGGGUGCGAGCGUUAAUCGGAUUUACUGGGAGUAAAGCGUGCGUAGGCGGCUUCUUAAGUCGGAUGUGAAAUCCCUGAGCUUAACUUAGGAAUUGCAUUUGAUACUGGGAAGCUAGAGUAUGGGAGAGGAUGGUAGAAUUCCAGGUGUAGCGGUGAAAUGCGUAGAGAUCUGGAGGAAUACCGAUGGCGAAGGCAGCCAUCUGGCCUAAUACUGACGCUGAGGUACGAAAGCAUGGGGAGCAAACAGGAUUAGAUACCCCCGUAGUCCCUGUCUCUUAUAC
rnacentral:rRNA from 1 species